rnacentral:rRNA from 1 species
AUUGAACGCUGGCGGCAGGCUUAACACAUGCAAGUCGAGCGGGGGAAGGUAGCUUGCUACCGGACCUAGCGGCGGACGGGUGAGUAAUGCUUAGGAAUCUGCCUAUUAGUGGGGGACAACAUCUCGAAAGGGAUGCUAAUACCGCAUACGUCCUACGGGAGAAAGCAGGGGAUCUUCGGACCUUGCGCUAAUAGAUGAGCCUAAGUUGGAUUAGCUAGUUGGGGGGGUAAAGGCCUACCAAGGCGACGAUCUGUAGCGGGUCUGAGAGGAUGAUCCGCCACACUGGGACUGAGACACGGCCCAGACUCCUACGGGAGGCAGCAGUGGGGAAUAUUGGACAAUGGGGGGAACCCUGAUCCAGCCAUUCUGCGUGUGUGAAGAAGGCCUUAUGGUUGUAAAGCACUUUAAGCGAGGAGGAGGCUACUUUAGUUAAUACCUAGAGAUAGUGGACGUUACUCGCAGAAUAAGCACCGGCUAACUCUGUGCCAGCCGCCGCAGUAAAAC